rnacentral:rRNA from 1 species
UAAAACUCUGUUGUUAGGGAAGAACUAGUAUCGGUGUAACCGCCGGUACCUUGACGGUACCUCACCAGAAAGCCCCGGCUAACUACGUGCCAGCAGCCGCGGUAAUACGUAGGGGGCGAGCGUUGUUCGGAAUUAUUGGGCGUAAAGCGCGCGCAGGCGGUCCUUUAAGUCUGAUGUGAAAGCCCCCGGCUCAACCGCGGAGGGUCAUUUGAAACUGCGCGACUUGAGUGCAGAAGAGGAAAGCGGAAUUCCCCGUGUAGCGGUGAAAUGUGUAGAGAUAUGGAGGAACACCAGUGGCGAAGGCGGCUUUCUGGUCCGUAACUGACGCUGAGACGCGAAAGCGUGGGGAGCAAACACGAUUAGAUACCCCGGUAGUCCACGCCGUAUACGAUGAGCGCUACGUGUUGGAGGUAUUCCGCCCUUCAGUGCCGCAGCUAACGCAUUAAGCUUCCCGCCUGG